rnacentral:rRNA from 1 species
GCUCAACAGCUAGCCCAACCAACCCAAUCAAACCCCCAUCAUUUAUAGUUUUUGAAAACCUUUAAAAACCUAAACAAACCAUUUUUCCUCCUAAGUACGGGAGACCGAAAAGGAGAAUUCAGGAGCAACAGACAAAGUACCGCAAGGGAAAGCUGAAAAAGGGAUGAAAUAGCUCUCUCAAGCCUAAGAAAGCAGAGCUAAAUUCUCGUACCUUUUGCAUCAUGAUUAAGCCAGUACACUGAAGCAAAGCGCACUUUAGUUUUCUACCCCGAAACUAGACGAGCUACUCCGAGGCAGCCUAUUAUAGGGCCAACCCGUCUCUGUGGCAAAAGAGUGGGAAGAACUCUGAGUAGAGGUGACAGACCUACCGAGCCUAGUUAUAGCUGGUUGCCUAGAAAAUGAAUAGAAGUUCAGCCCCCCGACCUUCCCGCCCCAACAUCUUAGAUCUGUUAGGCCCCGGGAUGCCCGGAGGCGUUAGUCAAAGAAGGUUCAGCUUCUUUGAACAGAGAUACAACUCUAAGGGUAGGUUAAAGAUCACAGUCAGUAAAGGAGCCGUUGUUCUAGUGGGCCUGAAAGCAGCCAUCUAAUCAGAAAGCGUUAAAGCUCAUACAACUCCCUCUCACCCUUUUAUUACGAUAGAUUAUCUUACACCCCCAAAUAUUACUAGGCCAUUUCAUGCCUUCAUGAAAGAGACCCUGCUUAAAUGAGUAAUAAGAGGGCACGGCCCUCUCCCCACACAUGUGUAACUCGGAUUGGACUUCCCACCGACAAUUAACGACCCCAAAAUCAAGAGGGUAUUGCAUCUUAACCCCAGUCAACCGGAAAGACAUGCACUAAACACCAUCGUUACCCCGACACAGGAGUGUGCGUAAGGAAAGACCAAAGGACGAGGAAGGAACUCGGCAAACACUCUAAGCCUCGCCUGUUUACCAAAAACAUCGCCUCUUGCAACAUGAGAAUAAGAGGUCCCGCCUGCCCUGUGACUUUUAUAGUUUAACGGCCGCGGUAUUUUGACCGUGCGAAGGUAGCGCAAUCACUUGUCCUUUAAAUGGGGACCUGUAUGAAUGGCACAACGAGGGCUAAGCUGUCUCCCCUGUCUAGUCAGUGAAAUUGAUCUUCCCGUGCAGAAGCGGGAAUUAUACCAUAAGACGAGAAGACCCUAUGGAGCUUUAGACUUAAGACGGACCAAAUAAACACGGCUUGUAUAACCCAUGUCGAACCCAUUGGCACCCCGUCCUUCUGUCUUCGGUUGGGGCGACCGUGGGGAAAAGAAAAACCCCCAUGAGGACUGAGGGCCCCACUCCCUCAGAGCUAAGAGCUACGCCUCGAAGCAGCAGAACCUCUGACUUUAAUGAUCCGGCCAAUCGGCCGAUCAACGAACCCAGUUACCCUAGGGAUAACAGCGCAAUCCCCUCCCAGAGCCCAUAUCGACGAGGGGGUUUACGACCUCGAUGUUGGAUCAGGACAUCCUAAUGGUGCAGCCGCUAUUAAGGGUUCGUUUGUUCAACGAUUAAAGUCCUACGUGAUCUGAGUUCAGACCGGAGUAAUCCAGGUCAGUUUCUAUCUAUGGUUUGACCUUCCCCAGUACGAAAGGACCGAGAAGGGGGGGCCCAUGCUAUGAGCACGCCCCACCCCCACCUAAAGAAAACAACUAAAACAGGCAACCGGGCAUACCCCCUGUCAAGCCCUGCCAGAGAAAAUGGCAU